rnacentral:rRNA from 1 species
UACGGGGGGGGCAAGCGUUGUUCGGAAUUACUGGGCGUAAAGGGCUCGUAGGCGGCCAACUAAGUCAGACGUGAAAUCCCUCGGCUUAACCGGGGAACUGCGUCUGAUACUGGAUGGCUAGAGGUUGGGAGAGGGAUGCGGAAUUCCAGGUGUAGCGGUGAAAUGCGUAGAUAUCUGGAGGAACACCGGUGGCGAAGGCGGGUUUCUGGGCAGUAACUGACGCUGAGGAGCGAAAGCGUGGGGAGCGAACAGG